rnacentral:rRNA from 1 species
GACGAACGCUGGCGGCGUGCUUAACACAUGCAAGUCGAACGGGGUCCUGGUUGGUGGCAACACCUUCCAGUACCUAGUGGCGAACGGGUGAGGAACACGUGAGCAACCCACCCCGAACUCUGGGAUAACAGCGGGAAACCGCUGCUAAUACCGGAUACCUUCCUGCGGUCGCAUGGCCGUGCGAAGAAAGGGUCACUGGUUCGGGACGGGCUCGCGGCCUAUCAGCUUGUUGGUGGGGUAACGGCCUACCAAGGCUUCGACGGGUAGCUGGUCUGAGAGGAUGAUCAGCCACACUGGGACUGAGACACGGCCCAGACUCCUACGGGAGGCAGCAGUGGGGAAUCUUGCGCAAUGGGCGAAAGCCUGAUGCAGCAACGCCGCGUGAGGGACGACGGCCUUCGGGUUGUAAACCUCUUUUAGCAGGGAAGAAGCGAAAGUGACGGUACCUGCAGAAAAAGCACCGGCUAACUACGUGCCAGCAGCCGCGGUAACAC